UCCGCCGAAUUUGAAGUCAAUUCGCCUGUCCGCCGAAUUUGAAGUCAAUUUAGGAUACUUUCCUUUAAUAAACGAAACUGUGACUCCUUCACAAUGUCAGAUUACCUUGUGGGAGUAGCUGGACCAAACUCUAUUGGUAUUUCAAGUUUGAAAUCCCUGUUUGACCAGACUAACAUUUCAGAUGAGGUAAUAGAUGGCCUAAUCUA